rnacentral:rRNA from 1 species
AUUGAACGCUGGCGGCAUGCCUUACACAUGCAAGUCGAACGGUAACAGGCCGCAAGGUGCUGACGAGUGGCGAACGGGUGAGUAAUGCAUCGGAACGUGCCCAGUCGUGGGGGAUAACGCAGCGAAAGCUGUGCUAAUACCGCAUACGAUCUAUGGAUGAAAGCGUGGGACCGUAAGGCCUCGCGCGAUUGGAGCGGCCGAUGUCAGAUUAGGUAGUUGGUGGGGUAAAGGCCUACCAAGCCGACGAUCUGUAGCUGGUCUGAGAGGACGACCAGCCACACUGGGACUGAGACACGGCCCAGACUCCUACGGGAGGCAGCAGUGGGGAAUUUUGGACAAUGGGCGCAAGCCUGAUCCAGCAAUGCCGCGUGCAGGAAGAAGGCCUUCGGGUUGUAAACUGCUUUUGUACGGAACGAAACGGUCUGGGUUAAUACCCUGGGCUAAUGACGGUACCGUAAGAAUAAGCACCGGCUAACUACGUGCCAGCAGCCGCAGUAAUAC